rnacentral:tRNA from 1 species
UGGCUGAGUUGUAAAGCGCUUGGCUUCUGAACUGGGGUCCUAGGUUCAAAUCCUGG